UAAGCGACUAAGCGUACACGGUGGAUGCCCUGGCAGUCAGAGGCGAUGAAGGACGUGCUAAUCUGCGAUAAGCGUCGGUAAGGUGAUAUGAACCGUUAUAACCGGCGAUUUCCGAAUGGGGAAACCCAGUGUGUUUCGACACACUAUCAUUAACUGAAUCCAUAGGUUAAUGAGGCGAACCGGGGGAACUGAAACAUCUAAGUACCCCGAGGAAAAGAAAUCAACCGAGAUUCCCCCAGUAGCGGCGAGCGAACGGGGAGGAGCCCAGAGCCUGAAUCAGUGUGUGUGUUAGUGGAAGCGUCUGGAAAGGCGCGCGAUACAGGGUGACAGCCCCGUACACAAAAAUGCACAUGCUGUGAGCUCGAUGAGUAGGGCGGGACACGUGGUAUCCUGUCUGAAUAUGGGGGGACCAUCCUCCAAGGCUAAAUACUCCUGACUGACCGAUAGUGAACCAGUACCGUGAGGGAAAGGCGAAAAGAACCCCGGCGAGGGGAGUGAAAAAGAACCUGAAACCGUGUACGUACAAGCAGUGGGAGCACAGAGCAAUCUGUGUGACUACGUACCUUUUGUAUAAUGGGUCAGCGACUUAUAUUCUGUAGCAAGGUUAACCGAAUAGGGGAGCCGAAGGGAAACCGAGUCUUAACUGGGCGUUAAGUUGCAGGGUAUAGACCCGAAACCCGGUGAUCUAGCCAUGGGCAGGUUGAAGGUUGGGUAACACUAACUGGAGGACCGAACCGACUAAUGUUGAAAAAUUAGCGGAUGACUUGUGGCUGGGGGUGAAAGGCCAAUCAAACCGGGAGAUAGCUGGUUCUCCCCGAAAGCUAUUUAGGUAGCGCCUCGUGAAUUCAUCUCCGGGGGUAGAGCACUGUUUCGGCAAGGGGGUCAUCCCGACUUACCAACCCGAUGCAAACUGCGAAUACCGGAGAAUGUUAUCACGGGAGACACACGGCGGGUGCUAACGUCCGUCGUGAAGAGGGAAACAACCCAGACCGCCAGCUAAGGUCCCAAAGUCAUGGUUAAGUGGGAAACGAUGUGGGAAGGCCCAGACAGCCAGGAUGUUGGCUUAGAAGCAGCCAUCAUUUAAAGAAAGCGUAAUAGCUCACUGGUCGAGUCGGCCUGCGCGGAAGAUGUAACGGGGCUAAACCAUGCACCGAAGCUGCGGCAGCGACACUGUGUGUUGUUGGGUAGGGGAGCGUUCUGUAAGCCUGUGAAGGUGUACUGUAAGGUAUGCUGGAGGUAUCAGAAGUGCGAAUGCUGACAUAAGUAACGAUAAAGCGGGUGAAAAGCCCGCUCGCCGGAAGACCAAGGGUUCCUGUCCAACGUUAAUCGGGGCAGGGUGAGUCGACCCCUAAGGCGAGGCCGAAAGGCGUAGUCGAUGGGAAACAGGUUAAUAUUCCUGUACUUGGUGUUACUGCGAAGGGGGGACGGAGAAGGCUAUGUUGGCCGGGCGACGGUUGUCCCGGUUUAAGCGUGUAGGCUGGUUUUCCAGGCAAAUCCGGAAAAUCAAGGCUGAGGCGUGAUGACGAGGCACUACGGUGCUGAAGCAACAAAUGCCCUGCUUCCAGGAAAAGCCUCUAAGCAUCAGGUAACAUCAAAUCGUACCCCAAACCGACACAGGUGGUCAGGUAGAGAAUACCAAGGCGUUUGAGAGAACUCGGGUGAAGGAACUAGGCAAAAUGGUGCCGUAACUUCGGGAGAAGGCACGCUGAUAUGUAGGUGAAGUCCCUCGCGGAUGGAGCUGAAAUCAGUCGAAGAUACCAGCUGGCUGCAACUGUUUAUUAAAAACACAGCACUGUGCAAACACGAAAGUGGACGUAUACGGUGUGACGCCUGCCCGGUGCCGGAAGGUUAAUUGAUGGGGUCAGCGCAAGCGAAGCUCUUGAUCGAAGCCCCGGUAAACGGCGGCCGUAACUAUAACGGUCCUAAGGUAGCGAAAUUCCUUGUCGGGUAAGUUCCGACCUGCACGAAUGGCGUAAUGAUGGCCAGGCUGUCUCCACCCGAGACUCAGUGAAAUUGAACUCGCUGUGAAGAUGCAGUGUACCCGCGGCAAGACGGAAAGACCCCGUGAACCUUUACUAUAGCUUGACACUGAACAUUGAGCCUUGAUGUGUAGGAUAGGUGGGAGGCUUUGAAGUGUGGACGCCAGUCUGCAUGGAGCCGACCUUGAAAUACCACCCUUUAAUGUUUGAUGUUCUAACGUGGACCCGUGAUCCGGGUUGCGGACAGUGUCUGGUGGGUAGUUUGACUGGGGCGGUCUCCUCCUAAAGAGUAACGGAGGAGCACGAAGGUUGGCUAAUCCUGGUCGGACAUCAGGAGGUUAGUGCAAUGGCAUAAGCCAGCUUGACUGCGAGCGUGACGGCGCGAGCAGGUGCGAAAGCAGGUCAUAGUGAUCCGGUGGUUCUGAAUGGAAGGGCCAUCGCUCAACGGAUAAAAGGUACUCCGGGGAUAACAGGCUGAUACCGCCCAAGAGUUCAUAUCGACGGCGGUGUUUGGCACCUCGAUGUCGGCUCAUCACAUCCUGGGGCUGAAGUAGGUCCCAAGGGUAUGGCUGUUCGCCAUUUAAAGUGGUACGCGAGCUGGGUUUAGAACGUCGUGAGACAGUUCGGUCCCUAUCUGCCGUGGGCGCUGGAGAACUGAGGGGGGCUGCUCCUAGUACGAGAGGACCGGAGUGGACGCAUCACUGGUGUUCGGGUUGUCAUGCCAAUGGCACUGCCCGGUAGCUAAAUGCGGAAGAGAUAAGUGCUGAAAGCAUCUAAGCACGAAACUUGCCCCGAGAUGAGUUCUCCCUGACCCUUUAAGGGUCCUGAAGGAACGUUGAAGACGACGACGUUGAUAGGCCGGGUGUGUAAGCGCAGCGAUGCGUUGAGCUAACCGGUACUAAUGAACCGUGAGGCUUAACCU
rnacentral:rRNA from 1 species